UUAACCCGUCUCUAUGACGACUUUGUCUUCCCAGUCUCAUUAAUCAGAGGCUCUGACUCAACCACCCUUGAAAUGUUAGGGUCCUGAAGACUCGAUAUUGUUGAAGAUGUCAAUUCUCUCCAAAUUAACGGACAAAUUCAAUGCCUUCUGAAUCAAAAUCCCACCAGGAUUUUUAAGUGGAACUUAAUAGGCUGAUUCUAAAGGUCAUAUGGAAGAGGAGAUCGGCAAGAACAACUAAGAGAAUUUUGAGAAAGAAAAACAAGUGGUGGGCACAUAGUAGGAGUAAAAGGACUGGAUUUGUCCUACUAGGUAGCAUCUGACAAAGCAACAGCAAUUCAACAGCAUGGUCAGGAAUAGACAUGCUGACCUAGGCAACUCAGAGUUCAGGAUCAAAUCCAUGUCCAAAGGGAACCUGCCAUAUUCUAGGAAAGGCAUUUCAAAUGAAGAGCACCAGUCACUAGGAGCACAGAGGUCCUUGUAUCUCAACUCUUUGAAAAAGGAACCCGCUGGGGUAGCCUUCCAGACCCUGGACCAUUUCCUUUCCUUUCCAGCCCAUCCUCCACCCACCUCCAAAACUUGCCCAAUGCAGGCAUUUGAUUUCAAGCAGAAGAUAAUUAUUCUGCCUCUACCUAGCUCGCUGUCUGUUGCUAGGUGCCAAAAGGUACAAGAAACGAGGAAGACAUGGCCCCAGACACGAGGCAGGAUGAAACUACUGCUAAUUAGAGCUGUAGUCGGUGCCCAGAGGGCAGAGAAAAAGCCUCCAGAAGAACAUGGAGAUCAAGUUACCUCGUAAGAUGCAUACCAGAUGCCUAGAUGCCUGCAAGCUCACUCUCGCUACUUCUCACUUGUGGGGCUUUGCUUGUGCUGCUUCCUUUACUUGAAAUGUCCUUCUUGUCCCUUCUACCUUGCUCAUUCCUGCUCAUCUUUAAGAAGUCAGACCAUUGGUCACCUCCACUGGAAAACUCUGUACGUACCUAUGUUCCAUUAUUGCAUUUACCAUACUGUAAUAGAAUUUUUUAUAUACUAUUUAAUGUGCUUCCCUCCCACUUAAUGUGCUUCCCUCCCACUUCCUUGCCGGUCACUGUUUUGCCUAAGAAAUGACCCCAAACUCUAGUGGCUUAAAAAUGCAAUUUAAUAGUCCUCAUGGUUCUGGGGGUUGACAGGGCUCUGCUGGGUGGUUCCUGCUUAAAGUCUCCCUGCAGCUGCAGUCAGAUGGCAGCCGGACUUGAGUCAUCAAGGCUCAGCUGGGCUUGCUGGGCAGGAAGGUGCCUUUACACAGCUGGCCGCCAGCUGGGAGCUCAGCUGAAGCUGUUGACUGGAGUGCCCAUAAGUGGAUUUACCACACAGGAUGGACUUCUCACAUAGUGGCAGUUCGGUUGCAAGAGGAAAUGUCCCAAGACCAAGUAUUUCAAGAGUCCCGUGGAGAAGCUACAAAGCUUCUGAUGAUCUAGUCUCACAAGUCUCAUAACAUCCCUUCUGCUAUAUUCCUUUGCCCAAGAAAAUCACUAAAGUCAGCUCAGAUUCAUGGGCAGGAAAAGUAGUCUCUACUACUUGAUGUGAGGAAUAGUAUGUAUAUAUAGGGAGGCAGGAAAUGAUGGUGGCCAUGGUCACUUUCUCCUGAUACAAAGCUUUGGGGGAGAACAGGGGUUAUUACAGCAUGAAUGCAGCAAGAUGGUCAAUGGUUUCAAAUAGUCUCUUGAAACCUACAAAGAGACAGGACAUUUAGUUGUGGUUGCUGGCUUUUUGUAAAGAGGAAAGAACCCAAUGGACUCAGAACUUGAAAUUGAUGUCAUGAACAGCAAAUAGGGUAGAAUGCAGAAACUGUCUUUCAGCCUGAAGGGAAAUAAAGGUUUCGCUAGCUAGUGAGAAGGGGAAUCAUAUGGAGACAUCAGUAAUAGUAAAUACUAGAUCUCCCAAAAGAAGUAAAAGAAUAGAAAGAGCUGUUGCCUGGCUUUUAAUGGUGUUGACCAGAAGACCAGCUGCCCUCCUCAACCCAGCUUGGGCUGGAGAGCCCUGAUGGGAAGAAGUAUCUGACAAAUGGGCUUAGGGGUUCCCCCUGGAGUCCUGUAUAUCCCCAUAGCAAGGUGCUGAUGGUGAGGGUUUAGGGAAGUGGGAGAGUGUAGCUGGCGGACUUGCACAUGCUUUGUGGUCAAGACAAGGACUCAGCGGGGAUGCCUUGGCUCAGCGAAUGGAUCAGAUGUACACCCCAGUGCCAGGGCAAAAUAGGAGAUCUCAGAAAAAAGACCACCCUUGAGGAGAAGGGAAGUAGUGGGAAGCAGAAAAGCUGGAAGCAGACCAAGAAUUUGCUUAAGGGAGACUUAGGUCAAGUCCAGAAGUGAUUGCAUUUACCUUGAACUAAGAUUGUUUUUGCUGCUGAUUAGAAAGGGGCAGGGGUGGUGGUAGAGUGAACUUCAAUCUUGGAGAAAUAAAGAAGCUAUACUUUGGCCAGCCUCUGUUUGUGGUGGUUUCUGGGUCAGCAACCUCUCAUUCUCUCUCAUCUCUUGUGCUUGCUUGGCACCAUGCUCCCUAGUUCUACCUCCAAAACCUCUCUUGAAUCCACCUGCUCUCCAUCCACUCUUUAGCUUAGGCCUGCAACACUUCUCAGGGACAACCGUGGUGGCCUCUUAGGUAUCCUCUGUUCCUCUUGGCUUCUGAGGCCCUCUUCAAACACUUUUCUGCAGACAGCAGAGGAAUAACAGGGCAUAUUCAUUGUUUUCUUUACCUAGACCAGCACCAACUCUCCUGGUUAGUCACUCUGCAUUCCAACCUAUCUGUUUUGAAUGGGAUUCACCUUAUUACACUUUAUUGGCCAUCACUGAUUGGCCAAGGGUGAUCGAGCCCCUGACCUAGGUUGGGCCAAUCAGAGCCUGUCCCCAGAUUUUUUAACUUGGGGGCAGAGAGAGCUCCUAACAUUUAUAGAACACUCACUACACACCAGGCUCUGGUUGAGCCCUUCACAGACAUCAUCUCCUUUGACCCUCAUAAGACUAGUGUUAAUGAGGCUGGUGCUGUUAUUAUGAAAUGUGGUCUGAAGAUGAGGGCGCUGAGGACAGAGCAGUUAGACAGUAAGUAACAAGGAGCACGACUCAAGUGAGGGAGGCCUGCUAACCGAACUCCUGAGCUUCCCCCUGGGUCUCUUUUUGGUCACAACUUGAAGGAAGUGAGGCGCUCCUAGCCAAGAUGCUAGUAUGUGGAAGAAGCGGGCUCCAGAGAGUGAGGCUGGCAGGCCAGGAGAUGGGGCAGCCCGGAGACGAGAGAGAGGGUCUGAUGGCCAAGUCCAUAGCUCCAGGUGACCUAGAGGCCCAACCUGGCCUGUGGUUUGGUUAUAGAAGUCAACUGAGUUCUCCUUCUGCCCAAGUGGAUUUGAGUGGAGCUUCCCUCACUGCCACAGGAGAACCGUGACUGCAUGAGAACAAGCUCACACCUGCCUCCCUGCUCUAGCACAUCCCUGAUUCAUUACCCUUAGGAUAAAAGCUCAGAUUCAUUGGUAUGAUGCCCUGCGUGUGCUGGCCAGCCAGAUCUGUCACAAAUCUCCUGCACCACGCAUGCCCUGAGCCCAUGGCGGUCCUUGUGGGGCCAGGUGAGAGGUCUUUGUUUAGGAUUUCACCUCUGUUCCUUCCUUUUCCUGCCUCAAAAUUCACCUCUUUCAUGUGCCAUCUCUUAAAAACCUGGGUCUUGGACUUUUUUUUUUU